rnacentral:rRNA from 1 species
ACUCCUACGGGAGGCAGCUGUGGGGAAUCUUCCGCAAUGGCCGCAAGCCUGACGGAGCAACGCCGCGUGAGCGAAGAAGGCCUUCGGGUUGUAAAGCUCUGUCCAGGGGGAAGAAGGAUGACGGUACCCCUGGAGGAAGCCCCGGCUAACUA